CGCCGCUCAGAAACUCAAAUGAAUUGACGGGGGCCGCCACAAGCGGUAGGAGCAUGUGGUUUAAUUCGAUGAUACGCGAGGAACCUUACCUGGGCUCAAAUGUAUGUUGACGUAUUCUGAAAGGGAUACUUCUUCGGACAAUAUACAAGGUGCUGCAUGGUUGUCGUCAGCUCGUGCCGUGAGGUGUCGGGUUAAGUCCCAUAACGAGCGCAACCCCUAUCAUUAGUUGCCAUCAGGUCAAGCUGGGGACUCUAAUGAAACUGCCUACGCAAGUAGUGAGGAAGGUGGGGAUGACGUCAAAUCAGCACGGCCCUUACGUCCAGGGCUACACACGUGCUACAAUGGCCGGUACAAAGGGCAGCUACCUGGUGACAGGAUGCUAAUCUCAAAAGCCGGUCUCAGUUCGGAUCGGAGUCUGCAACCCGACUCCGUGAAGCUGGAAUCGCUAGUAAUCGCGCAUCAGCCAUGGCGCGGUGAAUACGUUCCCGGGCCUU
rnacentral:rRNA from 1 species